rnacentral:tRNA from 1 species
GCCUGGGUGGCUCAGUCAGUUGAGCGUCUGACUUCGGCUCAGGUCGUGAUCUCACAGUCCGUGGGUUCGAGCCCCACGUCGGGCU